rnacentral:rRNA from 1 species
AGGUGAAAUUUAUAACUAAAAAUAUAUCGGUUUUAAGGGGAUACUUAAUCUAUUAAAUCUUAGAGAAAAACUGGGAUUAGAUACCCCAUUAUCCUAAGGAGAAAAUCUUUAUUACUUAAUUAUUAUUUGUUAUUAGCUUGAAAUUUAAAGAAUUUGGCGGUAUCUAAGUCUAGUCAGAGGAACCUGCUUCUUAAAACGAUAAUCCACGAAAUAUCUUAUUUCUUUUUGUUUUCAGCUUGUAUACCUCCAUUAUUAGAUAUAGUUCAGAGGCUUUUAUUUUAAUAUAGAGAUGAGUGUAGUAGUAUAAUAUAUUAGGUCAAGGUGCAGCUAAUAAAGAAAUUGAUUGUGGGUUACAUUUUUAUUUUAAAUUCAGAAAGAAACUUGAACAUGUUUUUUGAAGGUGGAUUUGAUUGUAAAUUAUUAUUUAAUAUGUAAAAUUGAUAUUAGCUCUUAGAUAUGUACACAUCGCCCGUCGCUCUCAUAUUAAAUUGAGAUA